rnacentral:rRNA from 1 species
UACGGGGGGGGCAAGCGUUGUUCGGAAUUACUGGGCGUAAAGGGCUCGUAGGCGGCCAACUAAGUCAGACGUGAAAUCCCUCGGCUUAACCGGGGAACUGCGUCUGAUACUGGAUGGCUUGAGUUUGGGAGAGGGAUGCGGAAUUCCAGGUGUAGCGGUGAAAUGCGCAGAUAUCAGGAGGAACACCGAUGGCGAAGGCAGGUCUCUGGGCCGAUACUGACGCUGAGGAGCGAAAGCGUGGGGAGCGAACAGG